GCUACUUUUGUCGGGGAGCAAUCUUCGGACAUACGGAAUUGGGGAGGAUAAAUUCUAAUUUUGGCCAUGGACCCUGGACAUGAAAGACGGUUCUUUUCAAUAGGAAGUAAGGAACAGAGCCCACUAUUUAGGGGCAGAUGAGAGGUGACCACCAGAGGCCAAGGCCAACUAGAGCUGGCAGGUUUUGUUCUGAGAGAUACCCUUAAAAAUAGCGAAUGUUUUAGGGAGGAUAUAAUUUUAGCAAUGCGCAUCUGAAAUGAUGGAGAGUUGUUUUCCGUAGCAAGGAAAGCACGGAGCCCCAGUACUCCAGGAGCUGAUGAGGGGCAGCCCUUGGCAUUCCAACAUCAGCCAGACCUGUCAGGUGGCCCCUGGGAGGCCAAGCCAGCCAGACCUGUUCCAUGUGCCCUCGGUUCCAUGGGGCCCCACAGUGUCCCAAUGGUCCCUUGCUUCCAGGAGGCCCUGAGGUGUCACAAUGCCCCCUUGGUGACACGAGGCCCUGAAGGGUCCUCAUGGUCUCCAUGGUUCCAUCAGGCCCCACAGAGUCAUGAUGGUCUCUGGGUCCAUGAAUCCCCGCUGUGUCACCAUGGCCCCUUGGUUCCAUGGGCUCCAGUGGUGCCACAAUGAUCCCCUGGGUUCCAUGAGGUCCCCACAGUGUCACCAGGAUCUCCAUGGAAAGGAAAGAACCGAGCCCCAGUGCGGCAGGGGCAGCCACCAGAGGCCAAGGCCAGCCAGACUUGAUGGAAGGAAAGCACAGAGCCCCAGCAUUUCAAAGGCAGAAGAGGAGAGAGGUGGCUCCUGGGGGGCCAACCCAGCCAGACCUGUUUGUCCUGGCAGCUUUUGUCAUGGAGAGAUCCUUGGAUAUAUGGAAUUUGGGAGAAGGAAUCUCAAUUUUGACCACAGACACCUUGAGAAGAAGGACGUUUUUUUUCCAUAGGAAGGAAAGCACUGAGCCCCAGUGUUUUGGCAGGAAAGAAAAGCACGAAAUCCAAGUGUUCUGGAAGAAGAUGAGAGCUGGCCAGCCUGAGGCCAAGCCAAGCUAGACCUGUCCUUCCUGACACCUUUUAUCUAGGGGCUAUCCUUGGACACAGGGAAUUUUGGAGGUGGAAUCUCAGUUUUGGCCGUGGGUGCCUGGACAGGAAGAUGAGUUCUUUUCAUUAGGAAGGAAAGCACAGAGCCCCAGUAUUCCAGAGGCACAUGUGUGCCAGCCCUCAGGAAGCCAAGGCCAGCCAGACUUGUCAGUCCUGGCAGCUUUUGUCUGGGAGCUAUCCUUGGAUAUAGGGAAUUCUGGAGGCAGAUGCCCUAUUUUGGCCAUGGGUGCCUGGUGAGAUGGAUGGUUUUUCCCAUAAGAAAGAAAAGCACAUGGUCCCAGUGUUUGAAAGGCAGAUGAGAGGUGGCCCCUGGGUGGCCAGGGCAGCCAGAGCUGUCUCUCCUGGCAGAUUUCAUCUGGGAACAAUCCUUGUAUAUAAGGAAACUAGGAGAAGGAAUCCCACUUUUGGCCAUAGGCCCCUGGAGAAGGACAGUUCUCUCCCAUAGGAAGGAAAGCCCAGAGCCCCAGUGCUCCAGGGGCAGAUGAGAAGCAGCCCUCGACAUGCCAAGGUCAGCCGGACCUGUCAGGUGGUCCCCAGGAGGCCCAGCCAGCCAGACCUGUUCCAUGUUCCCUUGGUUUCGUGGGACCCCACAGUGUCACAAUGGUCUCCUUGGUUCCAUGAGGCCCUGGAGUGUCACAAUGUCCCCCUUGCUUCUGCAGUGUCACAAUGGCCCCAUGCUUCCAUGAGGCCUUGCAAUGUCACAAUGGCUUUGUGGUUCCACAAAGCCCUGAUGUGUCACAAUGGCCCCUCGGCUCCAUGCGCCCUCACUGUGUCACAACGGCUCCUCUGUGACACUGCGGGCUCCACAAGGUCACCACGGACCCUUGGUUCCUUGGGGCCCCCGAGUUCCACAAUGGUCUCCUUGAUUCCAUGAGGCAGCACAGUGUCACAAUGGCCCCUUGGUUCCAUGAGGUUCCCCAGUGUCACUGUGGUGUCCUUGGGCCUGCAUUGUCACAACUGACCUGUGGUAAUCACAUAUCCUCUGAACAGAGAGAGUGAGCUCUCUCAGGAUUUUCCUGGGAAGCUGUGAGAAAGCUCAGAGAAAAGAAUGAGAAACAAUUCUUAUCUCCACUUGCUGCACCUGUUGUUGUGCACAUGUGGAAUGUGUUAUGGAGAUUGGUUUACCAAAGGGUGAUUUCUUAAUUGGCAAAUGGUGACGGUGUUUGGAUUUCAAUUAACCAGUCUGGUCUGUCUGUAUUGGACUGUCUGCAAGAGCGAUGAGUGUUUCUUAGUGCGGGGACUGCUGGGCUCCUGGACGGUUUGGAUGGGUGGUGAUGAGGGAUCUCUGAAGCCAGGUCUUUAGAACAUAUGGUUUAUUGUAAAGGGUGAAGGGCCUUGCUUGGAGUUGCCAGCCGCAACUCGUGGCAGGCCCAGGGAGAGAGGGGGGAGAGAGAGAGAGGGAGAGAGAGAGAGAGGGUGCCAGGUGGGCGUCCCAAAAGGAAGGUCCAAGAGAGCAUUCGGUCCCUCGGCCACACCUUCUCAGGGGGCUUCAAGGUGGGCUGGGACAGGACUUGGGCCAAUGGGGUUACAGAUACCUGAUGCUUCAGGGGAGGGUUACAGGUAUGGGAUGAACCAUACAUUGGGGGGUGAAACAGGACAUUCCAUUUGACCUUUUAGAUCAUCAGAAAGGGGGAUUGCUUUCAGCUUGGCUGUAUUAUUGUUUUCGAGAUGCUCAGUGAUUAAGGUUUGGUAUUUCAAACGUUGUUUUCAUCUCAAUAUCUGAAUUCUCCAAUUCUUUUGCCAGGCCAUCAUAUUUAUAGGGCUUUGCUAUUUCAUCUUCCCCAACAUCUUAGUAGUAUAGUAUAGUAUAAUAUAAUAAAGCGAUUGAUCAGCCUUCUGGAAUCAUGGAGUCAAUGCUAAUUAUCACCACUCCGGGGACGCCCUGCUGCGAUAGUUAUGCAAGUCAAUCUUCCCUUACCUCUGAAUGCUAAAUAGAAUAGGCUUAACAGGCACAUCAGCAACACCAACCACUGUAGACCCAAAGAGCUGCCUGAUGGGUUGGGAGAAAAUUUCCCCCGGUGUCAUUUCCU